AUGGUUCCAUCCAUGGCGAGGAAGCGCAAGGCAUCCGACGACGUCUCUGACGCUGACAUCGACGUCGGCAUACCUCUAUCACUAGCUUCGACGGACGCGUGGACGACGUCCACGGUUGCGGCUGCGACGGCGGCGAGGCAGCAGCAGCGGGGUAGGAAGCGGUUCGUGGGCGUGCGGCAGCGGCCGUCCGGCCGGUGGGUGGCGGAGAUCAAGGACACGAUCCAGAAGAUCCGCGUGUGGCUCGGCACCUUCGACACCGCCGAGGAGGCCGCCCGCGCCUACGACGAGGCCGCCUGCCUCCUCCGCGGCGCCAACACCCGCACCAACUUCUGGCCCCGCCCCUCGCCGCCUGCCGCCUUGCAGCCGCCGCCGCCGCCGGCUAUGUUGUCGAUGCAGGCGCCGGCGUUGCCUUCCAAGGUCUCCAACCUCCUCCUCCUCCGCCUCAAGGCCCGCAACCAGCAGCUCCUCCUCAACGACGCCACGGCGCCGCAAGAGGCUGCGCUGCUGCAGCAGCAGAUGCAGAAGCAGAUGUCCUCGUCGACGUCGUCGUGCCAAGAAUCAUACAUCCAUGGCCGUGACGACGAGUACUGCUUCCAGGUAGACGACUUUUUGAGCGAGGAGUGCAACAACUCGCCAGAAAUGGAGGAGGAGGAAGAAGAAGAGGUGGAGGAGGAAGAAGAGGUGGAAGAGGAGGAGGAGCUGGACUUCCAGUUCAUGGACAAGCCGGCGGCGGCGGGAGACGAGGACGCCGGGCUCUGCUCCCCGUUCGAGAUGGUCGCCGCAGAGCUCGGCGGCUCGGCGCCGGUGGAGGCUAACGACGUGGACGGCGAGCCUGCGACGGCGGUGCAGGAGGCGAUGAGGAGGAUGGACUACGAGAGGAAGGUGUCCGCAUCGCUCUACGCGCUCAGCGGUGUGUCCGAGUGCCUCAGGAUGCGCCUCGGCGGCGGCGCCUCCGCCGCGCGCGAUCAGCUGUCCGGCCUGCGCGAGGCGUGCCGCAAGAAGCAGAGGUUGGCGGUGCAGCAGCCAGCAUCGGAGCAAUCCUCGGAACCAGCUGCUGCUGCUGCUGAUCAUGGCACGGAGGAGGACGGUAAAGCUUACGUGCAAGAGGAGUGUUCAGGCAGCAGCAGCGGCAGCAGCAGCCUCACGGAGGCGGGGAGCUCGUCGUCACCGGAGGCAGCGAACGGCAGCAGCGACGGUGACGUGCUGCUGUGGAGCUCCCUGGACCUGGCGCCCAUCUGCUACAUGGCAUAG
rnacentral:rRNA from 1 species